rnacentral:rRNA from 1 species
AUUGAACGCUGGCGGCAGGCCUAACACAUGCAAGUCGAGCGGAUGACGGGAGCUUGCUCCUUGAUUCAGCGGCGGACGGGUGAGUAAUGCCUAGGAAUCUGCCUGGUGGUGGGGGACAACGUUUCGAAAGGAACGCUAAUACCGCAUACGUCCUACGGGAGAAAGCAGGGGACCUUCGGGCCUUGCGCUAUCAGAUGAGCCUAGGUCGGAUUAGCUAGUUGGCGGGGUAAUGGCUCACCAAGGCGACGAUCCGUAACUGGUCUGAGAGGAUGAUCAGUCACACUGGAACUGAGACACGGUCCAGACUCCUACGGGAGGCAGCAGUGGGGAAUAUUGGACAAUGGGCGAAAGCCUGAUCCAGCCAUGCCGCGUGUGUGAAGAAGGUCUUCGGAUUGUAAAGCACUUUAAGUUGGGAGGAAGGGCAGUAAGUUAAUACCUUGCUGUUUUGACGUUACCGACAGAAUAAGCACCGGCUAACUCUGUGCCAGCCGCCGCAGUAAGAC